GCGGAGGAAAAGAAACCAACAGGGAUUGCCCUAGUAACGGCGAGUGAAGCGGCAACAGCUCAAAUUUGAAAGCUGGCCUUCGGGUCCGCAUUGUAAUUUGUAGAGGAUGCUUUGGGGCAGCCGCCUGUCUAAGUUCCUUGGAACAGGACGUCAUAGAGGGUGAGAAUCCCGUAUGUGACAGGACAUGGCACCCUAUGUAAAGCUCCUUCGACGAGUCGAGUUGUUUGGGAAUGCAGCUCUAAAUGGGAGGUAAAUUUCUUCUAAAGCUAAAUACCGGCGAGAGACCGAUAGCGCACAAGUAGAGUGAUCGAAAGAUGAAAAGCACUUUGGAAAGAGAGUUAAAAAGCACGUGAAAUUGUUGAAAGGGAAGCGCUUGCAAUCAGACUUGUUUUGACUGUUCGGCCGGUCUUCUGACCGGUUUACUCAGUCUGGACAGGCCAGCAUCAGUUUUGGCGGCCGGAUAAAGGCCUAGGGAAUGUGGCUCUCGCUUCGGCGGGAGUGUUAUAGCCCUGGGUGUAAUACGGCCAGCCGGGACUGAGGUCCGCGCUUCGGCUAGGAUGCUGGCGUAAUGGUUGUAAGCGACCCGU
rnacentral:rRNA from 1 species